ACCGGGUUGGAAGACUUGUAGCGUCGGGCUUUACGGAUUGCAAACUUUUCGGUCGGAGGAGACUUUCCUGCUAUCUUCUGCUUGAGGUGCAUGUCCUUCAUCCCAGAACUCUCUGAUUGUACGCUCACUGUUCAGUCUUUCCAACAAAUGAAAAAAACACAACACUGACCUGAAGAGCUCCACCUCGUUCUCUCCAAAAGGCCGCGCCUCUUCCUCCGGCAGCAUGCUGAGAGUCGGACACCUUGGACCAGCGGCUCUCCUGGCUCAGCAGGUCUGCGUAGAAGUAGGCCAUCUUCCAGGCGCGCUUGAAGGUGAAGCACCAC